rnacentral:snRNA from 1 species
AUAUUUUUGAUGUACUGUAACUAGCAUAAUAAAAAAGUCUGUUCUUAUCAGCUUAAUAUCUGAUACGGGUUCUAUAUGGACCCACGAUAAUAAACCUAUUUUUGGAAGUUGGCGGAGUGCUUGAAGCCUGCUUCACCUCUGCCGCAGGUCGGCCCGGUAUUGCACUACCUCCGGGAUCGGUCCCCGCUCA